GCACCCUGAGUGGUAGAGGGAAGCAUAUGGGUGCUGGGCUGGCAAACAGAGGCUGUCCCCUCCAUAGCCAGUAUUCAACAAUUACAAGCUAGAUUAGUUUACAAAGCAAGCAAAUAACUGAAUUAAAAUUUUUGAAGUAAAGUGU